rnacentral:rRNA from 1 species
UACGGAGGUGGCAAGCGUUGUUCGGAAUUACUGGGCGUAAAGGGCGCGUAGGCGGCUUUGCAAGUCAGAUGUGAAAGCCCCGGGCUUAACUCGGGAAUUGCAUCUGAAACUGCUUAGCUUGAGUCCUGGAUGGGAUAGUGGAAUUCCCAGUGUAGCGGUGAAAUGCGUAGAUAUUGGGAGGAACACCUGCGGCGAAGGCGGCUAUCUGGACAGUGACUGACGCUGAGGCGCGAAAGCUAGGGGAG